UAGGCUGCUGCUAUACACGCGGCAUUGUUUUGAGGUCGGAGGUUUCUGCGUAGUCGACCGGCUGAAUUCGGUAGGCAUUCUUGUUAUUCAGGCCACUUGAAGGCUUGUAAUUUGGACAACUUCCAAUUAAAUGUUUAAAAAUUAUCUCGGUAGAUCAACUUUGUGAGUAAAACGUGGGUAGCUACUUUAGCCCGCAUAAUAAGAACAACAAGCUAUAAUCGUCGACAUAAUGAGCGUAAAGCGUGGUGAGCUGCGUUAUAAACACGCCCGAUAAUAGUGUCUACUGUAGGGAUAAAUUAAUUGCAUAUGAAAUAUUCAGUACCCAUUGCAAAACUGUUCAAACGAGCAGGCAGGCCCUCACCUCCAAAAAUCAUACCACCGAUGUGAUUUCGUAUAUUGUCUUGUACUCAUAUAAUCUACUCCCCAAACAGUUUUCAGUCAAGUGGAUGUGGCCACGCGGUGCCAGGCUUGUGACCUGCCAUUGUAACCCACAGGUGGGGUGUUGCGCUGCACAACUCGAGGGAAGAAAUACACCUGUUCUCUCUUUCGCGGAACAUGCGAACCUAACAAUACAAACUGCCAAUCAUUGAAGAAUGCAAGCAAGUCCUGCGGUAAAAACAAGAAAUGUUGCAUAAACCUGCAGUAGGAAAACUAUUAUGCAGCACGCCAUGCCUCUAUGUGCUUGAAAACAUUAGCGGCGGACCGUAAAUUCAUAUCACCUAUUUCCUUCCACCUGAUUAUCUUUUUGUAAUAAAGGCGUGCUCGGCACAUAAUUAUAAGCGCAAA